ensembl:lncRNA LINC01229 long intergenic non-protein coding RNA 1229
GAAUCGUUCCAAACAUAAUGGGCUUGGAGUAAUGGAGAACUCCAAGGGCAGGAGGUAACCAUUAAAGAGGACCAUCAUGUAGUGUGAGGAGUCAACAUUUCACACUAGAAAGCCCUUGGUUCAAGUUUUGUCUCUGCCACCUACAGAUUUUGUAACCCUGAGGAAACUAGCUACCUCUUUAUGUACUGCCCUAUGGAGAGGCACACAUGUCAAGAAACUGAGGGAGUGCCUUCCAGUCAACAGCCAGCCAGGAACUAAGGUGCUCAGUACAGCAGCCUCCACAAAGGACUGAACAAUGCCAACAGCUAUUUGACUGUGCUUGGAAGAUCUCCGUUUAGUUAACCCUUCAGAUGAGACCGCAGCCCUGGCCAGCAAACAAAUUGCAGCCUAUGGAAAGACCUUAAGGCAGAAGCACCCAACUGAACCACCCGAGGGCUCUGACUUACAGAAACUGUGAGCAUAUAGUGAAAUGGCCUCUACCUUAUUUUGAAUGGAUUUCUGGGAUAAAGUUCUUCAGUGAUAACAUGUUUGAAGCGGCUAUCUUAUGUGCCCAUGUUACAUGCUCAUGAUAAAGCUGCAUUUCCUGAGGGGACACCAAUGGAUACACCUCUGCCUGGCACGCAGCUUAGAGGCUAAAUGUAUGAAAAGCAACACCAUGCAAAUCAUUUUGAAACUGCUGUGGAACUCUCACGGGACCCUCCAUUCUAGACAUCCAGUCCCACUAGUGAUCUGACCAUGAAACCUACUAAGAGACUUCCAGAAGAAGAUGACCUCUGAAAGGAGAAAACUUUCUUCCAAGCUUCUGUGGAACAAGAAGAUGCCAUCCCUUUGGUGGAGCCCAAAGGGAAACCAGCACAAAUCAGAGCGAACGACGUGAAAAGAGUUCUGUUUCUCCUGGAAGGAUGCCACUUGUUUCUACUCCAGGGGAAAUGUCUUCCAAGCUCUUUACCAAAUCUGCAAGCUGAACCAACUCAACUGUGGCUGCCUUGCCCACCUGAAGACCUCAGGAUCCACCAGCAGCCCAAGACACCUCGGAAGCUGUUUCAAGGACAAGCGUCGCCUGCACACGUCAGCACAAAUGGGAACAUGAUGAGUGAUGCUGCCUGGAGUUAAAGGAGGCCAGGAGCACCAGAAGCUGGAGGAGGCCGGGGUGGAUUCUCGCCUGGAGGCUUCAGUGGGAGCACGAGCUCCCGACACUUCGGUUCCAUCUCUUGUUUAAAGGCACCCAGUUUCUCAUCAUUUGUUACAGCACCAUGGAAAACCCACACACAAGUGAAGCCCCGACCCACCUCCCAAGUGCCCAUCUGAGCACCCCUCGUGGACUCUGAGCAGGGGGUUGCCAUCACCAACUCCAAGUCUUGCAGCCCCUCUUCCCUUCAGUCUGGCUGCCACCUUCUUCAUUGCCCUGGAAAAAAAUAAUGAAGUUUCACCAUUUAAAGGGUUUCAGUGCAGCUUGCUAUGGGAACACUGGAGAGUAACACAAAUGGCCAAUUGUCCUAAUAGCCACCAUGGAUUGGAUGGAUGCUAACAACAGGCUCACAGUUCUCCUUCUGUUGCCUCCUUUUAUCCACAUGAGAAUCAAACAAGACUACUGAUUAAAUGAAGCCUUUGAUGAAGUGCAUGCAGUUUGUAGCUUGAUUCAUGGGAAUACUCAUCACAGACUGAAAGUGUAACCCAGGGUCUCUGGGUUUUUGGGAACGCGCUGUGUAAAAGUAUCUACUUGUAACUGUUACUCCCUGAGUUGUUGUUGUUUUAGAAAGUUCCAAGAAGAAGCUUAGCCUUGGAAAAAACAAAAACUGGUUGAAUCCAGAAGUGGAGAUGAAUUUUGGCCAACGCUCCUCACUGCCACACUAAAAACCCUGCUCAGAGAGGAGCUUAUUCACCAUGUUCUAUUCAUGCAAUGUGUGUGGAAACAUGAUCUACGACAGCAUGCGUGCUGCCUUCACCCUACCUCUACAUACAAUGACUCAUUUAACCUGCUGAAUAAAAGCCCUGUUUUCACCUUUGCUGGGGGAGGUGCCGCUUUGGGAACUAUUCGCAGUGUCCUCUUCACUUUUUGCAAGUAAUAGAAUACCCUUGUUAAAUCCUA